GGCUCGUCCGCUCAGGGUUAGUCGGGACCUAAGCCGAGGCCGAAAGGCGUAGGCGAUGGACAACAGGUUGAUAUUCCUGUACCACCUCCUCACCAUUUGAGCAAUGGGGGGACGCAGGAGGAUAGGGUAAGCGCGGUAUUGGAUAUCCGCGUCCAAGCAGUUAGGCUGGGAAAUAGGCAAAUCCGUUUCCCGUAAGGCUGAGCUGUGAUGGCGAGCGAAAUAUAGUAGCGAAGUUCCUGAUUCCACACUGCCAAG
rnacentral:rRNA from 1 species